GAUGAACGCUGGCGGCGUGCUUAACACAUGCAAGUCGAACGAAGCACUUUAUUUGAUUUCCUUCGGGAUUGAUUAUUUUGUGACUGAGUGGCGGACGGGUGAGUAACGCGUGGGUAACCUGCCUUGUACAGGGGGAUAACAGUUGGAAACGGCUGCUAAUACCGCAUAAGCGCACAGCAUCGCAUGAUGCAGUGUGAAAAACUCCGGUGGUAUAAGAUGGACCCGCGUUGGAUUAGCUAGUUGGUGAGGUAACGGCCCACCAAGGCGACGAUCCAUAGCCGACCUGAGAGGGUGACCGGCCACAUUGGGACUGAGACACGGCCCAAACUCCUACGGGAGGCAGCAGUGGGGAAUAUUGCACAAUGGGCGAAAGCCUGAUGCAGCGACGCCGCGUGAGCGAAGAAGUAUUUCGGUAUGUAAAGCUCUAUCAGCAGGGAAGAUAAUGACGGUACCUGACUAAGAAGCACCGGCUAAAU
rnacentral:rRNA from 1 species